GCCAGAAGGCAGAGAGUAAAGUUUGGAGAUGAUAGAGGCCAGGUAGAAGAGACCACAGCUGCACUGCUAAAAGCCCAAGGCCGCCGAGAGAACUACCUAGCGCCUGAAGAAACAAGACAUAACCAUGUCACUAUUAGAUCAAAAGAGCAAGUCUUGGAGGAUCUUAAUGCAGUUACACUCCAAUACCUUAGCUGUUCAGAUCCUACUGAAGCUGCAGCUAGGAGACAACGGGUCCUUAACAGUGAGGCGUCAGGCUUAGUGGAAAAGACAGCAGCUUCAAUCCUAGCUUCGGAAACAACCCCGAGACGCCCGCUUUCACCUUGGGAGCAAGGCAUCAAGUCAAUAAGCCCACCGGGAGAGGGGUCUCUUAUGGGACUACGUCAAGACCAAAUCUUCACCCCCAUCCCAAGAGAAGAAGAAGAUCUAGGCUUUGACCCACCUUAUAGUGUUGAACCUGCCCAAAUUAACACUCUCCGGGUGCAAGAAGUCAGAGAACACCCUGCACGCAUUAGAUCAAUUAUUGUUAGCCCCCCUGAGACGACGGAAACAUCUCCUCUGCAACAACAGUUAAUCCCUGAGCUGCAGGAGGAAGAAACUCUUAAUGACUUCCAAAACAAAGUAAGGGAAAGAACGGUGCGACAUCAUAAAGCAAGAUCACCACGAAGCGGAACUAAUGUCCUGCGAGGAGCCAGCACAAAGAAAAGAAGAUUAUCACAAAUUCUUCACUCACCAGGAGCUAACAAAAAACAAAAGAAUGAUGUACCAAACAAAGGACGUACUCGCGGGGAAGCUUCAAAGUCGGGUAACAAGGCAUCAGAGAACCCAAAGAACCCACCUAUCCAACUAAUUCCAGCUAUGUCGAAGAAGAAAAUGGAUUUUCGGGUUCCCCCUCCCCAGGCUCCUUAGUCGUUCUGAGCUGGAACUGUUGUGGGUUGGGGAACCCCAUAACAGUCCAGCGUCUGAAGGAGCUUCGGAAAAGGAAGUCUCCUGACAUAGUGUUCCUAAUGGAAACAAAGAACUCAGAAGAGAUGAUUAGGAAGGAACUCCCCUGGCUGAAAGAGGAAAAUAACUGCAUAGUUCCCCCCCAUAGCCCCGGCGGUGGUGGUCUGAUUCUCAGUUGGAAAAAAGACAUUGAUCUUACUGUCCUUUCUACGACAGACAACUUCAUUGAAACGAGAAUCAGUUCCAAAGGAAAGAGCUUCCUGACUACCUUUCUUUACGGAGAACCUGAUCACACAAAACGUAAUGCAGUCUGGAACGAGCUAACUACUCUACAUGCUAACCUAAAGGAACCUUGGUUCUUAACAGGGGAUUUCAAUGAACUGCAAGAUAAUAGUGAGAAAAAAGGAGGACCAGAGAGAGCAGAAGGCACCUUUGGAGCCUUCAGAACAUUCCUAUCUGAAAAUGACCUGUUUGAUCUCAAACAUUCUGGUAACCCUUUCUCUUGGAGGGGUAAAAGAGGUGCACACCUUGUUAGAUGUCGCCUCGACAGAGCUAUGAGCAACCCAGAAUGGAUGGAGCUCUUCCCCUCCUGCCGCUGUCAAUAUCUUAAAUUCGAGGGAUCUGAUCACCGCCCUAUCCUCUCCUACCUGGAUACAACAAGAAAGAAAGGCCAUAACUUAUUCCGCUAUGACAGACGCCUAAAAGAUCAAAAAGAGAUUAAAGAAUUGGUAGCGGAGAUCUGGCAAAACUGUACUUACCUUGGAGUAGAGGCUAGACUCGUCUUAGUCCGCAGAGCAAUUUGUAAAUGGUGCAAGCUGUUCCAGGAAAAUAGCAAACAAACCAUUGAGAAUCUACGAGUAGAGCUUGAUGAUCAGAUGACUAAGGACGACCCAGAUGAGGACAGGAUCCAAGAUAUCAAUAAACUCAUCCUAAAAGCUUAUAAUUCAGAAGAAGCAUACUGGAAACAGAGAAGUCGACUUCUUUGGCUAACUCUAGGAGACUCAAACUCUGGCUAUUUCCAUGCAGUGACAAAGACGCGAAAGGCAAGAAACAGGCUAACGGUUAUGGAGAAUAAGGAUGGCAUACCUGUCUAUGAAGAAGACCAAAUCUCAGCGUUAGUCUGUUCCUACUAUGACAACCUCUUCACUGCAAAUCAAAGAGGAGAAAUUUCUUCAACGAUCUCCCAAGCGCUCAAGCCCUGUGUAACUCAGGAAUGGAACGAGCUGCUUACCAGAGACCCAUCACCGGCUGAAAUAAAAGAAGCACUCUUUGCAAUCCACGCAGAUAAGGCUCCCGGGCCUGACGGGUUCUCAGCAAGUUUCUUCCACUCAAAUUGGGAGACCAUCGGCCAAUCGAUCAUCACUGAGAUCCAAGAGUUCUUCUCCACGGGCGUAUUGUCACCAACAUUGAAUGUGACUCAUGUUAGGCUGAUCCCUAAGACAUUAGGAGCGAAAAGAGUGGAUGAAUACCGACCUAUAGCUUUGUGCAAUGUGUACUAUAAAGUCAUCUCUAAGCUCCUAUCCUUGCGCCUGAAACCCAUACUUUGCUCCAUAAUCUCAGAGAACCAAUCCGCUUUUAUUCCUGGAAGGGCAAUAACAGAUAAUGUUCUAAUUACGCAUGAGGUACUGCAAUUUCUCAAGACUUCACAAGCUAAAAAACAGUGUGCAAUGGCAGUCAAGAUGGAUAUGUCAAAGGCCUACGACAGAGUGGAAUGGGAGUUCAUAGCUCAAGUAAUGAAACGCCUAGGUUUUCAUGAAAAAUGGAUCAAUUGGAUCAUGCAGUGUAUCACAUCGGUUUCCUACUCCUAUCUGAUAAAUGAUUCAGUCUAUGGUCUGGUCAAACCUCACCGUGGAAUCAGGCAAGGAGAUCCGAUCUCGCCGUACUUGUUCAUCCUAUGCGGAGAGGUCCUCUCAGGCCUUUGCAGAAAAGCGGAGUUAGAAGGAUCAAUGCGGGGAGUUCGAGUUGCUAGAGGCUGCCCCCGAGUCAAUCAUCUACUUUUUGCUGACGAUACAAUGAUUUUCUGCAACUCAACUUCAGAAAGCUGCCUAGCCUUACUACGGAUACUGCGAGAUUAUGAAAGUGUAUCAGGUCAAAAGGUUAAUAUUGCCAAAUCUGCAAUCAACUUCUCAUCAAAAACACCCCCUGAGGUAAAACAAGCAGCAAAAGACUUAUUGGGGAUCCAAAAGGAGGGUGGGAUGGGUAAAUAUCUAGGCCUACCAGAGCAUUUCGGAAGAAAAAAGAAGGAUUUAUUUACCUCGAUAGUUGAUAGAAUCCGACAGAGAGCUGCGAACUGGUCAACACGCUUCCUCUCGAGAGCAGGCAAGCUCACCAUGCUCAAAGCGGUCCUUACAGCUAUCCCAACCUAUGCAAUGUCUUGCUUCAUACUACCCCAGAGCCUCUGCAACAGAAUCCAAUCAUCAUUAACGCGUUUCUGGUGGGACAAAUCUCCUGACAAGAAGAACAUGUGCUGGGUAGCAUGGGGAAAACUUACACGACCAAAAAAGGCAGGAGGUCUUGGGUUGCGAGAUAUCCAACGGUUUAAUCAAGCGUUACUUGCAAAAGUAGCUUGGAGAAUAUUAACAUCACCACACUGCCUUCUAGCUAGAGUACUCACCGGGAAGUAUUGCCAUAAGAAAAGCUUCCUGGAUGUACAGACCCCAGCAGUUUGCUCGCAUGGAUGGAGGAGCAUUUUGCACGGUAGAGACCUACUCCAAGAACACCUAGGAAGAGCAAUUGGCAAUGGUCAGAACACUAGACUCUGGAAGGAUCCGUGGAUCUCACUCCAAGCCCCAUUAAAGCCCUAUGGACCAGUACAAGAGGCGGGACUGGACCUCAGAGUUUCUGAUCUACUAACGGAUGACCUUCAGUGGAACAAGGAUAAGAUCGAUAAGUUCUUACCAGACUUUACAAAGCAGAUCCAGUGUCUUAAGCCAAGCAAGGAAGGUGCAGAGGAUAUUUACGUGUGGCUCCCCCUUGAGUCUGGUGUCUACUCCACUAAGUCGGGUUACAACUCUAAAACCCAGCUCAAUGCACACACACACCUGCAACAGAGAACCUCAAAUCCUCCUCCUAACCUGGAAUUCGACUGGCUGAAAGAUGUGUGGUCAAUCAAAACAGCGCCAAAACUUAAGCUUUUCUUAUGGUCGAUUAUACAGGGAGCUUUACCUCUAGGAUCAGAACUCCAACGUCGAGGUAUGAUCAAUGCUGCUGCUUGCCCCCGCUGUAAGAAAGAGGAAUCAGCUACCCAUAUAUUCUUCCAGUGCCCCUUUGCCAAAGAAGUAUGGCGCCACAUUCCUCUCAACUCAUCAGUUCACCUAGCUGAUGCAGAGACUUUUGAAUCCUAUAUGGGGCAAUUCCGAAGCGCCCUCUGUCUCCCUCCUACAGGCAUCAGAUCACCAGUGCUCCCGUGGAUCUGCUGGUCACUAUGGACGGCAAGAAACAAGCUGAUUUUCGAUGAUAAAACGGCUCAACCACUCGAAAUAGCGACAAAAGGGCUUGCAGCUGCACUUGAAUGGGACCUAGCUCAGAGCACCGAUCAAUUGAAGAGAAACCAAGUAUUCCCCCAAGCUCCAAGCCGACGACAAAUACCAGGAAUCCAAUCAUACCCCUCUUGCUUCGUAGACGCAGCGUGGGAUGCCUCCUCCAACCGAGCAGGUAUCGCUUGGCAUUUCACCAACGAUCUAGGGACCAACUCUCCUCCAGGAUCCCAGAUCAUAGACAAUGUGGCUUCCCCCCUCAUGGCGGAAUCGCUGGCGCUCAGACAAGGAAUCAAAGAAGCCCUAAGUCUAGGGAAGAAGUCAGUUUCGUUUCACUCCGAUUGCGCAACGCUCAUCAGAGCAAUCUCAACCCAAAGUCAGAUCAAGGAGAUCUAUGGUGUUCUUCAGGAUAUCAAGCAUCUCUCAGCAAACUUUGAUCGCAUCCAAUUUCUGCAUAUCUCCCGUUCCCAGAACAGAGAGGCAGACUAUCUAGCUAAAGUGGCCCUUAAGGC
rnacentral:lncRNA from 1 species